rnacentral:ncRNA from 1 species
GUUUAUUUGCUUCUGGUAAUAUGUUAGCUAUAUAUUUAAGUAAUACAUGGUAUUGAAAGAGUGGGAGAGAGGUAGGUAUUUUUUUCGAUUAGUAGUUUAAGAAUAUUAAGUAGGAUAGGUAUAGAGCCGAUUAGGUGAUUUAUAAUGGGUUGUUUGAAAUCUCUACUCCAGUAAUUGAAAUUGAUUAAUAAUAUAGAGAUAUAGGUUAAGUAAUUUAUUUAAGGGGAGAAUAAUAAAGUGCCAGCAUUCGCGGUCAAACUUUGUUCCUCAAGCUAAUAAUUUUGUAAAAGAGUGAGAUUAAAAAAAAGUACUGGUUAAAAUCUAUAUCGGUUAAAUGUUUAGUAGGUUCAAAUUUAAGUGUUGCUUAAAAAUCUAAUCUAAGAAGGCUGUUUCAAAGACAAGGAUUUGAUACCCUUUUAUUUAUGCUGUCGAAUAAUUUACGGGGACUACGAGUUAGAAUUGCUUAAAACUUAAAGAAGUUGGCGGUGCUCCACAACCAUUAAGGGGAACUUGGUGAUUAAAUUGAUGAAACUCGAACUACCUUACCUUUAGUAGUCUUUAUAUACCGCCGUUGAAAGGUAAUUUUGAAGAAAAAAGAUAUAGGCGUAAGGUGUAUUUUAAAAAAUUUACACAAGAAUUCAGGUCAACGCAUAGGAUCUAAAGGGUUUAGCUGAGUUACAAUUAUAAAAUAAAACGGACUUAUUGGUGAAAUACCAUAUGUGAAGGUGUACUUAUUAGUAAAUUUUUAUAAGAGAGGAAAAUUGAAUAGUGUAAUUGGAGUGCGUACAAAUCGCCCGAUACCCUACGUAUUAAAAUCGAGGUAAGUCGUAACAUAGUAAUGCUAGUAUAAAUUGGUGUUGU